rnacentral:lncRNA from 1 species
GUUCGGUAAUGAUGGAAGGUUAUUAUGACUGAGGAAGAAUAUCAGAUAUGAUUUCUGACACACUUUUGUCAUAAUGGCCAAUCAGCUCAUGAUGGCGACCGUAAAAUUUCAUGAGUGAUGACCUUAAUUUGAUUGAUUCAUAGCCCUGUCUAAACAACUUUUGAGAAAGCAGUAUUCCUCGUUCAACAAAACCAACGUACUUUGAGCUAGCUCUAGAGUAACGUAUCAAUUGAGACACAUAUACUCCAUAUGCUUGUGUCGCUGGGAUGUUGCUACACAGAAAUG